rnacentral:rRNA from 1 species
UACGAACUGUGCGAACGUUAUUCGGAAUCACUGGGCUUACAGGGUGCGUAGGCGGCCGAACAAGUCAGGUGUGAAAGCCCUCGGCUCAACCGAGGAACUGCGCUUGAAACUGUUUGGCUCGAGUCAACUAGAGGUGCACGGAACUUCCAGUGGAGCGGUGAAAUGUGUUGAUAUCGGGAGGAAUACCGAUGGCGAAGGCAGGUCUCUGGGCUAUAACUGACGCUCAUGCACGAAAGCGUGGGGAGCAAACAGG